UACAGAGACUGCAAGCGUUAUUCGGAUUCACUGGGCGUAAAGGGUGCGCAGGCGGCCGUGUGUGUGAGGCGUGAAAGCCCGGGGCUUAACCCCGGAAUUGCACCUCAAACUACACGGCUAGAGCAUUGGAGAGGGUAGCAGAAUUCACGGUGUAGCAGUGAAAUGCGUAGAUAUCUGGAGGAAUACCGGUGGCGAAGGCGGCAUCCUGGACCGACAUUGACGCUGAGGGGCGAAAGCUAGGGGAGCAAACGGG
rnacentral:rRNA from 1 species